rnacentral:lncRNA from 1 species
GUGAAAUAGUGGAACUAAUAUUUUCAUGAAGAAAUUGAAAAGUAAAAUUUUGUCUGUAGGGCGAUUUCCAGGUGAUUCCAUGAAACUUAAUAAGAAGCAACAUUUUUGAAUGGUGCUCAACUGUAACUGUAUAAAUAAAAUCAGUAACCAUUUUUGAAACAGUGCCAUCUUCUGCAAGAUUAUAUUUUCCUGGUACAAAAUCAAGAUUUUGACGAAAAUUUUCUUCGAAAACUCGAAAACUCCAAAACUCCAAAUUCGAAAAAUUCCCGGAAUAUGAAUGAUGCCAUUUCCAAGAAUUGCUGGAGUCAUGCCACUUCCUGAUACAAAAUUGUAAAACCGACCGAAAUAUUUCUCGAGGAGCAAAAAAUUUCGGGGUUUCGAGAAAUUCUUGGAGUUGCAUGACAUUUACAAAAAUCGCUGGAAGUGUGUAAUUUUUUCCGUUAUCAUGUUCUCGUAAUCCGAAACUACAAAACCGACCGAGAAGUUUCUUGUUCGUAUGGUAAAUUUUUCGCUCCCGGAUUUCCUAAAAAAUGACAUCUCCACGAAUUUUCAAAAUUUUCAAAUACCUCUUACUCUCUUGAAAUCUUAUUCUCUUGAUACUCAGUAAUACUUACCAAUAUUUUUGGACCCUUUCGUCGUUUUUUGCAAUAUAAUCUGUUAUCUGUCAAAUUAAAAUUAUUAUAUGACAACCAGGAAAAAUAUGUUAAACAAAAUAAUGCAAAAGGCAGAAUUACAAGUCAAUCACUUUUGUAACAAGUCCAAUCAGCAAUAAAUUACUUUUAUUUCCAUUUCGCCCCCUUCUUAUAUUCUGUUUGAUUUACAAUUUAUUAAACACUGCAAAUACAACAUGUGUAAUGAAGAACGUAUACAUAUAAACAAUAGUGACUUCUAUUCCCAACAAUUAAACUGUCGCAUUAUACUAUCGAUACAAAUUCGCUAAUAUCUUUUACAAUUAAAAUAACUGAAAUUUAAAAAAAUCAUUCAAUCUUUAAAUCUUUCUUUAGAUCUUUUGAAUGAAUUAUGAUAUAUGCACUAGAUACUUAAUAAAUAUCAUCGUCAAAGAUGGUACUUUUUAAUCAAUAUCAUUAAAGAUAUUCGUUGAUAUGUAAAAAUCAGCAAAAAA